rnacentral:misc_RNA from 1 species
UCCUGGUUAACCCAGGCAGUCUCAUUAGAGUUCCCACCUUAAAUGUUGGCAACUAAUGAUAAGGGUUGCGCUCGUUGCUGGACUUAACCAAACACCUCACGGCACGAGCUGACGACAGCCAUGCAGCACCUGUUCACAGGCUCCGAAGAGCUGAGUUGUUUCCAACUCAUUCCUGUGUAUGUCAAGUCUGGGUAAGGUUCUUCGCGUUGCAUCGAAUUAAACCACAUGCUCCACUGCUUGUGCGGGUCCCCGUCAAUUCUUUUGAGUUUCACCCUUGCGAGCGUACUCCCCAGGCGGUAUACUUAUCGCGUUUGCUUCGGCACAACCGGGGUUGAGUCCAGUUACACCAAGUAUACAUCGUUUACAGCAAGGACUAC